GACGAACGCUGGCGGCGUGCUUAACACAUGCAAGUCGAACGGAAAGGCCCUGCUUUUGUGGGGUGCUCGAGUGGCGAACGGGUGAGUAACACGUGAGUAACCUGCCCUUGACUUUGGGAUAACUUCAGGAAACUGGGGCUAAUACCGGAUAGGAGCUCCUUCUGCAUGGUGUGGGUUGGAAAGUUUCGGCGGUUGGGGAUGGACUCGCGGCUUAUCAGCUUGUUGGUGGGGUAGUGGCUUACCAAGGCUUUGACGGGUAGCCGGCCUGAGAGGGUGACCGGCCACAUUGGGACAGAGAUACGGCCCAGACUCAUACGGGAGGCAGCAGUGGGGAAUAUUGCACAAUGGGCGGAAGCCUGAUGCAGCAACGCCGCGUGCGGGAUGACGGCCUUCGGGUUGUAAACCGCUUUCGCCUGUGACGAAGAGUGAGUGACGGUAAUGGGUAAAGAAGCACCGGCUAACUACGUG
rnacentral:rRNA from 1 species